AGCGAACGCUGGCGGCAGGCCUAACACAUGCAAGUCGAACGAACUCUUCGGAGUUAGUGGCGGACGGGUGAGUAACACGUGGGAACGUGCCUUUAGGUUCGGAAUAACUCAGGGAAACUUGUGCUAAUACCGAAUGUGCCCUUCGGGGGAAAGAUUUAUCGCCUUUAGAGCGGCCCGCGUCUGAUUAGCUAGUUGGUGAGGUAAAGGCUCACCAAGGCGACGAUCAGUAGCUGGUCUGAGAGGAUGAUCAGCCACAUUGGGACUGAGACACGGCCCAAACUCCGACGGGAGGCAGCAGUGGGGAAUCUUGCGGAAUGGGCGAAAGCCUGACGCAGCCAUGCCGGGUGAAUGAUGAAGGUCUUAGGAUUGUAAAAUUCUUUCACCGGGGACGAUAAUGACGGUACCCGGAGAAGAAGCCCCGGCUAACUUCGUG
rnacentral:rRNA from 1 species